CCCAGACGGACUACUGCUGCCAGGCCUCGUGACACUCCUUCUUGGCACUGUGCCAACCCCAGGGUAUUUGUCCCAAGAUAACAUAAACUGGAGCAGGAGGUCUUGAGGGCCUGCUGCUUCGAUGCAAGAAUAAGGCUGCAAUGUGCAGCCUCAUUUCCCUCAGCUCUACAGUGAAGGCGCUGACCUGGAUUAUUUGUAAGAUCCUCUUCGAUUCCUACCUCCUGCAAAAGACAGCAAAAGGAAGUUUCUCAAGUGAACUAGAAGGACUUGUUUCCAGUGGGAUGACUCAAGGCACUGCCAGAUAAUAGCCAAUGAGGAGGAAGAGGAGAGGUGAACCAGAGAGAUGGUACUGCUAUUCUGGGCAAUAACCCAGGAGACCACCAUCAUGAUCCUGCCAGGUCUCCUGCGGUCAGCUUUGAUGACUAAGAUUCUCCCAAAGACAGAAGAAUGCAUGUUUGCCCCAAUCGUGAUUCCUAUCUGAAAACCUGGUUUUCUCCUUUUUACUAUAAACACCUGGCAAUUCUUCCCAAUGGGGGGCACAAUCUUUAAGGCAUUAGCCUGCUGGGACCCCCUUUGCCUGGCAAAGCAAUAAAGCUACCUUUUUCUCCUUUGCCCAAAACUCUGUCUUUGAGUCCCUACUCGGGACUGGUGGACAGAGACCCAGUUUUGGCAACAUUAGGUUCAGCCCAUGGUGGCAUGUACGUACAUUUGAAUUAGAGUUCCUUCAGCAUUUAAAGGUUUAGGGAUGGUAUGACAGAGGCUCAAGGAUGUAAUUUUCAGCAGCUCUACAUAAAUAGUACAUAAAAUGAUCACUUAGUGAUCUGAGAUGUGUCUUUCAAAGUGUUCAAGUUUGGAUUUACGCAUUCUGGAUUUAAGCAAAAUGGAAAAAAGCUUCAUAUGACUGUAUUAUUGUUUUGCUUCAGAUGGGCAUAUUUAACUUUCUU